GUGGGGAAUCUUGCGCAAUGGGCGAAAGCCUGACGCAGCCAUGCCGCGUGGAUGAUGAAGGUCUUAGGAUUGUAAAAUCCUUUCACCGGUGAAGAUAAUGACUGUAGCCGGAGAAGAAGCCCCGGCUAACUUCGUGCCAGCAGCCGCGGUAAUACGAAGGGGGCUAGCGUUGCUCGGAAUUACUGGGCGUAAAGGGAGCGUAGGCGGACAUUUAAGUCAGGGGUGAAAUCCCGAGGCUCAACUUCGGAGCUGCCUUUGGUACUGGGUGUCUUGAGUGUGAGAGGGGUGAGUGGAACUCCGAGUGUAGAGGUGAAAUUCGUAGAUAUUCGGAGGAACGCCAGUGGCGAAGGCGGCUCACUGGCUCGAUACUGACGCUGAGGUGCGAAAGCGUGGGGAGCAAACAGGAUUAGAAACCCGUGUAGUCC
rnacentral:rRNA from 1 species